ACGGGAGGCAGCAGUGGGGAAUAUUGGACAAUGGGGGAAACCCUGAUCCAGCGACGCCGCGUGAGUGAAGAAGUAUUUCGGUAUGUAAAGCUCUAUCAGCAAGGAAGAAAAUGACGGUACUUGACUAAGAAGCCCCGGCUAACUACGUGCCAGCAGCCGCGGUAAUACGUAGGGGGCAAGCGUUAUCCGGAUUUACUGGGUGUAAAGGGAGCGUAGACGGCAUAGCAAGUCUGAAGUGAAAUGCAUGGGCUCAACCCAUGAGCUGCUUUGGAAACUGUUAAGCUAGAGUGCAGGAGAGGUAAGUGGAAUUCCUAGUGUAGCGGUGAAAUGCGUAGAUAUUAGGAGGAACACCAGUGGCGAAGGCGGCUUACUGGACUGUAACUGACGUUGAGGCUCGAAAGCGUGGGGAGCGAACAGGAUUAGAUACCCUGGUA
rnacentral:rRNA from 1 species